GGGAACCACAGAACAAGUUCUGGGCUGGAGAUGUAGAUUUCAUUUGAGAGCUGCCAGUAGUAGAGACGGUAAUUGAAGCCAUGGGAAUGGAGGUGAUUGUCCAGGGAGUGUAGGUAAAGUGAGAAUAGAUAAGUGCCAAAGGGCACAGUCUGGGUAUGUCAACAUUUAAGUGACAAUUUCAGAAAGAGAAGCCAAGGAAGAAACCAGAGAAAAGCAGUUGGAGAAGCAAGAAGGCAACCAGAAGUGGCCUUGGUACAGCUGUGAUGGGGAGACAAUGACGAAACAGCAGGAACUGGCACUGAGAGUUAUUGGUGUAGCUUGGGCUCUCCCCUCAUCAUCCUCUCCAGCUGGGAGUCAUGUGACAGAAGCAAGAAGCCUGUCACAGCGCACAUGUAAAAGAGCAAACUCCAGACACACACGUCUUAUCUGUGCUGACGGCCCACCUUGGUGACUGGAAAUGACACCAUCCAAUUUUUUCUGGCCGCAAUGUUGCACCCCUGAUUUUUUCCUUCAUAUGACAGACUUCACAGCAAAUACUCCUACUGAGUCCAAACAACCGCUACGAUUGAGAACAAGCAUGAAUCCGCCACCCACCUUCUCCUGGAAAUAAGGUUAUUGGGUUGCUGAACUCCCAUGAACCAAAAAGAAAACACUGAAUGGUAUCCAAACCAGCCUGGAAAGGACAGCGAGAAAAGCCAGAACCAAGGCUGACCAGCCUGAAUGCUGGUAAAUGUUAUCAAGAAUCUGGAGCAGGAGCCUCAGUCUCCUAUCAAAAGGAGAAGAACCUGAAGAAAACACUUCUCUUCCUUCUCUCUGCCUAGGGGCAGUGACCUUGGAUUCAACCACCAUCAUCCCUUCCAGACACCAGAGGGGGGAGUCCCACAAGGCAGAAGGUGCCCCUGUGACCCAUCCACUUCUCUUCCAUGUUCUUUACCUCCUUGCUCAGGAAGCCAUAAAGUUGAGCUGAGUGGAAGGUGAAUUUCAUUGCAAAGUUUACACAGGCUCUGCUGACAGGUUCAUGAAAACACUACUGAAUAUGUUACAUACCACCAAGGCUCACAGCACAUCCUGUGUUGGAAGUGAUACUUUUCCAUUACCAGUAAACCUCCUUUUGUCCUAGGAGCUCACUGAACAGCUAAAAUCAGGUGAUAUUUUUAUGUGGAACAUGCAACGUAUUAAGUCCUUUUGCUCAGUGACCCAAAAAGGAACUAAACGGUACCCAGACUAGAAAUCAAUGUCAAAUUAUUCAAAUAAAUUCCACUUAAAGAA